rnacentral:rRNA from 1 species
AAGUCGUAACAAGGUUUCCGUAGGUGAACCUGCGGAAGGAUCAUUACCGAGUGCUCAUGCUUUCAUAGCUGAACCUCCCACCCUGAGAUACUAUUCCUUGUUGCUUUGGCGGGUCGUCCGUCUCGCCACCGGCGUACGCUAGUGUGUGCCUGCCAAAAGUUUCAAACUCGAUUAUAUGUACCGUCCGAGUAAUAUUCAAGUAUGAACAACUUUCAACAACGGAUCUCUUGGUUCUGGGCAUCGAUGAAGAACGCAGCGAAAUGCGAUAGAGUAAUGUGAAUUGCAGAAUUCAGUGAAUCAAUCGAAUCUUUGAACGCACAUUGCAGCCCUUUGGUAUUCCGAAGGGUAUGCCUGUCCGAGCGUCAUAAGUCCACUCGAGCACUGCUUGGGUAUUAGGCCCCAAUCGAAUUUGAUAGGCCCUACAAUCUAGUGGCGCGCAGUUCUAAAUGUCUGAGCGUAGUAGAACUUCUUCUCGCUACAGACUGCAGCGCUGUGGCCAAAAACCUUCUAGUUGACCUCGGAUCAGGUAGGAAUACCCGCUGAACUUAA